AUUGACAUAAUUUUUUCUCUACCUUUCUUCCAAUACUGUGUCUUCUCCCUCUUAUACUCGGCGCUCUUGCUGUGCUCGGCGCUCGGCUCCUGCGACCUGCCGACGGACCUCCCUCUUUGCUUCUCUCUCUCUCUCUCUCUCCUCAUAACCUUUCCUCAGUCCUCACUGCUCUCCAUGGCAGCCAUGGAAGCGAGCUUCCUGCACACGCCCUUCCAAAUAGCUCAUAGCCUUGCAUGUGCCACCGAUAGUGGGCCCUCUUAAAUGCUAUCCUUUGAAGUCAUACAUACCAAACAACGGUUCGGAAAACAAUCAACAAUAUCAACAGUUCGAUAAAUUGAAAAUGUACGGUCUUUAUCACUACAUGCAUCAUCUUCAUCUAUUAAAAAAGUCAACUUCCUACAAUACCAAUGAAACCAAAACAUGCUGAUAUACAGAAAAGUUCCCAUAGCUUCACUCCUUUCGAUAUUGACGAUGACAGGAUGGAAGUGGAACAAAACAUAGGAUCCAUCUUUACCAGACGAACAGAAAGGUAAAAGAUCUUUUACAUCUACAACAACUGACAUAGAGAGUGACCAACCUCAGGAUACUACAGCAGAUAAAUUCAACAAAAAAGCUCGAGCCACACCAAAAAGCCAAGAUUACAAUAAGAUCAUGUUGGACCUGCAUGAGAACAUAGUGGAACACAAAACCAGUUGGCAUUUUGAAGUGUACAGUUACCACAUCCAAACUUUUUGGUGCUCAACAUGCUGAACACUUAUGCAGUUCUGGCAAACAAUAUCUCUUCAUAUUUUGUUGUAUAUAGUUAACUCAUCCCCACCUUUUGGUACACACCAUCCUAAACGUGGAUGACCAAGUACUGCACAACGAAGUAGCAAACAAGAACUUUUAACAUUUUCAUGUAUACAGUUUCCUCACCCAAACUUUUGGGUGCGCAACAUGCUUCACCUGCUUGAUGUACUGUCAAACAAAAUCUGCUCUUAUUUUGCUGUAUAUAGUGCACUU